UGAAUGCAUAGAGCUGGUUUGCGUGGGCUC
rnacentral:piRNA from 1 species